UACUAUAGCUUGACACUGAACAUUGAGCCUUGAUGUGUAGGAUAGGUGGGAGGCUUGGAAGUGUGGACGCCAGUCUGCAUGGAGCCGACCUUGAAAUACCACCCUUUAAUGUUUGAUGUUCUAACGUUGACCCGUAAUCCGGGUUGCGGACAGUGUCUGGUGGGUAGUUUGACUGGGGCGGUCUCCUCCUAAAGAGUAACGGAGGAGCACGAAGGUUGGCUAAUCCUGGUCGGACAUCAGGAGGUUAGUGCAAUG
rnacentral:rRNA from 1 species